rnacentral:rRNA from 1 species
ACGUAGGGUGCAAGCGUUAAUCGGAAUUACUGGGCGUAAAGCGUGCGCAGGCGGUUGUGCAAGACAGAUGUGAAAUCCCCGGGCUUAACCUGGGAACUGCAUUUGUGACUGCACGGCUAGAGUGCGGCAGAGGGGGAUGGAAUUCCGCGUGUAGCAGUGAAAUGCGUAGAUAUGCGGAGGAACACCGAUGGCGAAGGCAAUCCCCUGGGCCUGCACUGACGCUCAUGCACGAAAGCGUGGGGAGCAAACAGG